GUCUGACGCAGCAACGGCGCGUGAGUGAAGAAGGUUUUCGGAUCGUUAAGCUCUGUUGUUAGGGAAGAACAAGUGCGAGAGUAACUGCUCGCACCUUGACGGUACCUUACCAGAUAGCCACGGCUUACUACGUGCGAGCAGCCGCGGUAAUACGA
rnacentral:rRNA from 1 species